rnacentral:rRNA from 1 species
UACGGGGGGGGUAAGCGUUGUUCGGAAUUACUGGGCGUAAAGGGCUCGUAGGCGGCCAACUAAGUCAGACGUGAAAUCCCUCAGCUUAACUGGGGAACUGCGUCUGAUACUGGAUGGCUUGGAUUCGGGAGAGGAAUGCGGAAUUCCAGGUGUAGCGGUGAAAUGCGUAGAUAUCGGAAGGAACAUCAGUGGCGAAAGCGACUUCCUGGACCAAUACUGACGCUCAUGUGCGAAAGCGUGGGGAGCAAACAGG